rnacentral:misc_RNA from 1 species
AAAAAUUGAAUAUGAGACUAAGUCAAUCCUCAUUAUCCCUGCUGCUGCUGCUUCUUCUUCAUCCUCCUCCUCCUCCAAACCCUAAACGCAACGAGUUAUUGCAGAACUGGAGAGCUUUAAAUCUUCUAAUUAUCUUGUAGAUCUGUCUUUUUAUUACCCUUUGCUUUGAAACCAAUCACUGUACACACACUUCAUUUUGGCUUUUUAUGGCGGUGGGUUUUGACUUUUGAAGAGAGAGUUUUGUCACUCUAAGGAAACACCACUCCAUUUCUUCCGUAAAUUUAUAUAUCCUAUUUAACUAUUGUUGCAUACAUGGAGGGGAAUUCCGGUGGUGGAGGAGCUGGAGGAGCUGCUGUUGCUGCUGGCGGCGGGGCUGGGUCUGUUGGGGUUGGUGGGGCUGGGGGGGGGGGGGGGGAUGAUGU